ACCAACAUGUCAACAUAAAGAAGGCACUAGUAUCCAUAGCAGCUUUUCACAAAAAGAGUCUCCUAGGAAAAGAGGUAUCGCAUGUUCCUACAGAGAGGACGUGCCAGAAUCGUGGUGGGGAGGAUGUGGAGUUUAAGCCCCUGGGGUCACCUUGCUUGUCAGCUUUCCUGCCCCCAUCCCAACAAGGGAAUUUUGUCCCUCACUGAAAAUAGCUGUUUAAGGCAGAUAAGACAGCCCACCCUUUCCCCAUGUGGACAGAGGCUCCAUUGUCCCUCGCGGAUUUCUGCUCCCUCAGGCAACACGAUCUCUCUCUGUCGCCCUGAGACAGAGUUCAUUUCAGAGCCUGACUGGUUUCUGGUUUAACCGAUGUGGAGUUAAUAAAGCACACCCUGUUCCCUGGACUGCAGCUCUCUCGAUGGCAGGAUCCUCACAUCACUUUCACGGACAUAUUAAGUUGCAGCCCAGAAGCCAAAUCUUCUACUCUUUGUAAACUUGAUGGAAAGCCAGGGAGGCAGCUACAGUGUUUCUGAGAAUCACCUUUCUCUGCUCUUGAUGACUCUCUGCCCCACCUCCGCAUGUCCUCAAUGCUGAGUAAGCCCUCAGGGUGGACAAAGUCAAUCAUGGUUGCAUGACCAAGAGUCUUAAGUCUUCCUGGGACUCAUCAGGUGCCGUGGGGGGCAAUCUGAGACAGUGGUACAGUCACAGGUUCAGGGGGUGAAGAACUGGGCUCUAAUGAGUGCCACCAUUCCUGUGUGGCCGUGAGCAAUUUAUCAUACUGUACUUCUCCAAGCUUUGUUUCUCUCCUUGUUAAAGGAGGACAGUAAUGCUGUUUAUCUCAUGGGGGUGUGGGGGUUGACAGCGUUGAUGAGUAGACCUAGCACAGUGUCUACAAGUCCUCGGCAUUGUCUUAUCAUUUUUCUUCUCCAUUUCUUUCUUCUCUACCUUCUUUUGUCAUUACCACCGUUAUUGUCAUCCAUACUCCAGGAGUGACACUUGGCCAUACCCAGGGAUGCCCCUUGGCAUGGGAUACAUUGGGGCAACCAGAGUCCCAUGACUUGAGAAGAGGGGUCCCUUGAAGUGACAAUCACUGAAGAACUGAGUGGUUGGAUGACAGCUAAUAAUAGUGGCCUGAAGCUCACAAGACUAGCUCUCAGCUGCAAAGUGCUGCCCCACCAUUACUGGGACCAGAGGGAUACCUCCUAGGAGUGCUUUCCCCAGACUAUGUCCUCUUAUUGCAUGGAGAGGCUUGUAAGGGAUGGUGGAAGGAGAGGAAACUCUUUGCAGCCAGUGAGGCAACUUCACAAGGAGUUUCCUAGAGACACAUCGUUGAGUUAUUUAUAACUUGCUUUGUCGUCUUCCACCAAGAACGUUUUCCUGGCUUGGAACCUUGAGCAAGUACACUGGAAGAUUAGACCUGGAAGAUGCUGGGGCUGCACAGGAGCCCUCCAAGAUCUGACGGCAGCCAGGGGUGCCUGCUGGGCCGGAAAUGACGCCAGGUUCUUCCUGGGGAAGCUGGCUUUUCUCUAGGGAAGGAACUGCCCCGGCUUCUUUGGCAAUCUGCUCUUGCUCUGUCCAGACGAAAAUGCUAUUUUUUUUUCUGAUUAAAAAAAGGGAACAAGAGAAUACACUCCUAGCUGAAGAUACAUCAAAAUUUAGCUUCAGCCUUGCUAUUCUGCUAAAAUCUGUUAUCUGAUGUUGACUGGGGCCUAUGGAAAUGUAACAGCCUUCUGCUGACCUCAGAGUCAUUUCUGCUGUCUCCGGACAUGCGAAAUCAGCGAUCACGUGACCACACCAACUAACAGCAUAUUGAAUGCUCCACAUGUUCACAUGGCAUAUGACUUGAAUUUAUUAUUAGUAAGGGGGUAGUCACUUUCAUAUAAAGUUAAUCAUUCUAGAUCUAACUUGGAGUGAGAGAUCUUAGAAGCUUUAUAUGUUGAAAUUCUAUCCAAUCAGUAAAAUGCUAAAUAAUUAAUAUUUGUAAAAGCUGUAACUUUGAUAUACUAAUUACUGAGUACUUUCAAACUCUUAAACAGGGAAAUACACUGACUUUUAUAGCAGUUUAAGAGACAGGAUCUAAGGAGCAUAGCUUCAGGAAGGAUGCUAAUAUACUUUAUGAGACAGCCAAUAUUUGUUAACAUUUAAUAAUGAUACAAGAUAGAACGAUAGAGAUUUAUUAUAUGAUAUUUCAAUUCUAUAUAAGUGGUGUU